UACGGAGGGAGCUAGCGUUGUUCGGAAAUACUGGGCGUAAAGCGCACGUAGGCGGCUAUCUAAGUCAGGGGUGAAAUCCCGGAGCUCAACUCCGGAACUGCCUUUGAAACUGGAUGGCUAGAAUCUUGGAGAGGCGAGUGGAAUUCCGAGUGUAGAGGUGAAAUUCGUAGAUAUUCGGAAGAACACCAGUGGCGAAGGCGACUCGCUGGACAAGUAUUGACGCUGAGGUGCGAAAGCGUGGGGAGCAAACAGG
rnacentral:rRNA from 1 species